GACGGGGGGGGCAAGUGUUCUUCGGAAUUACUGGGCGUAAAGGGCUCGUAGGCGGCCAACUAAGUCAGACGUGAAAUCCCUCGGCUUAACCGGGGAACUGCGUCUGAUACUGGAUGGCUUGAGUUUGGGAGAGGGAUGCGGAAUUCCAGGUGUAGCGGUGAAAUGCGUAGAUAUCUGGAGGAACACCGGUGGCGAAGGCGGCAUCCUGGACCAACACUGACGCUGAGGAGCGAAAGCCAGGGGAGCAAACGGG
rnacentral:rRNA from 1 species